rnacentral:rRNA from 1 species
UCUGGUGAUCCUGCCAGUAGUCAUAUGCUUGUCUCAAAGAUUAAGCCAUGCAUGUCUAAGUUCACACCCUUGUACGGUGAAACCGCGAAUGGCUCAUUAAAUCAGUCGAGGUUCCUUAGAUGAUCCAAAUUUACUUGGAUAACUGUGGUAAUUCUAGAGCUAAUACAUGCUGACCAGCUCCGACCCCUCCGGGAAAGAGCGCUUUUAUUAGUUCAAAACCAGUCGGGUUCUGCCCGUCCUUUGGUGACUCUGGAUAACUUUGUGCCGAUCGCAUGGCCUCGAGCCGGCGACGCAUCUUUCAAAUGUCUGCCCUAUCAAAUGACGAUGGUACGUGAUCUGCCUACCAUGUUAGCAACGGGUAGCGGGGAAUCAGGGUUCGAUUCCGGAGAGGGAGCAUGAGAAACGGCUACCACAUCCAAGGAAGGCAGCAGGCGCGCAACUUACCCACUCCUGGCACGGGGAGGUAGUGACGAAAAAUAACAAUACGGAACUCUUUUGAGGCUCCGUAAUUGGAAUGAGUACACUUUAAACCCUUUAACGAGGAUCUAUUGGAGGGCAAGUCUGGUGCCAGCAGCCGCGGUAAUUCCAGCUCCAAUAGCGUAUACUAAAGUUGUUGCGAUUAAAAAGCUCGUAGUUGGAUCUCAGGCAUGGGCGCGCGGUCCGCCUCACGGCGGUCACUGCGUGUUUUCUUUCCCAUCCUACGCUUCCCGGUUGUUCAGCCCAUGGUGCUCUUCGCUGAGCGUUUUGGGUGGCCGGAACGUUUACUUUGAAGAAAUUAGAGUGUUCAAAGCAGGCAUGUUGCCUGAAUAAUGGUGCAUGGAAUAAUGGAAUAGGACCUCGGUUCUAUUUUGCUGGUUUUCGGAACACGAGGUAAUGAUUAAGAGGGACAGACGGGGGCAUCCGUAUUGCGGUGUUAGAGGUGAAAUUCUUGGAUCAUCGCAAGACGAACAACUGCGAAAGCAUUUGCCAAGCAUGUUUUCAUUAGUCAAGAACGAAAGUCAGAGGUUCGAAGACGAUCAGAUACCGUCGUAGUUCUGACCAUAAACGAUGCCAACUAGCGAUUCGCUGGUGUUGCUUCAUCGACUCUGCGGGCAGCUUCCGGGAAACCAAAGUUUUCGGGUUCCUACGCCUUGGGUUCCAUCGAUCCCAGCUUGUACAAGAUCGCCGAUGAGGACGACGACUACGAGAUUCCCCGCAGCCAUCUGGGCAGGGUGUGGUUCGCCAUCGAGUAUGAGCGGGAGACGGAGAAGCUGCUGGUGACCCUCAUCAAGGCCAAGAACCUGCCCAGCAGACAGCUGGGCAGCGACAAUGGGUGCGACCCUUACGUUAGGAUAUACCUGAUGCCAGACGAAAGGAUACCUACAGUCCAAGUUCCGGAAGAAAACCUGCAACCCCAAGUUUGAGGAGAGCUACGUGUUCCAGGUAUCCCACCGCGCUACCGAGGACCGAGUGUUGAAGCUGACGGUGUUUGACGUCGACCGUCACAAACGUCACAACGUCAUCGGUCACGCGCUGUACCCGCUGCGUGACCACGACUGUGAGAGUAACGAACGCCUGGUCAUCUGGAGGGACCUGGAACGAGAAGUCUCCGAGGCCACGACCAACAACGGCGAGCUGUCGGUGUCGCUGUGCUUCAACAACCACAUGGAAAGACUGACCGUGGGCGUUUUUGAGGGCCGGGACUUGAAGACUGCGCAGGGCAUUCCCGCUGACACCUACGUGAAGGUGUGCCUGAUGAUCCAGAACAAGGUGGUGAAGACCAAGAAGUCGGAGGUGGCCAAGAAGACC